rnacentral:snoRNA from 1 species
GUGAUGUAAACUCUGGGGCCUGAUUUAAUGACGAAACUGACCUGCCCUGA